GUGAGGAAUUUUCCGCAAUGGGCGAAAGCCUGACGGAGCAAUGCCGCGUGAAGGAUGAAGGCCUAUGGGUUGUAAACUUCUUUUCUCAGAAAAGAAUUAUGACGGUAUCUGAGGAAUAAGCAUCGGCUAACUCUGUGCCAGCAGCCGCGGUAAGACAGAGGAUGCAAGCGUUAUCCGGAAUGAUUGGGCGUAAAGCGUCUGUAGGUUGUUUAAAAAGUAUUCUGUCAAAGAUUAGGGCUUAACCCUAGAUAGGCAGAAUAAACUUUUAAGCUAGAGUUAGGUAGAGGCAGAGGGAAUUCCCGGUGGAGCGGUGAAAUGCGUAGAUAUCGGGAGGAACACCAAAGGCGAAGGCACUCUGCUGGGCCAAUACUAACACUGAGAGACGAAAGCGAGGGGAGCAAAUGGGAUUAGAAACCCCGGUAGUCC
rnacentral:rRNA from 1 species